AACAUUAACAAUGAUGCUCACAUUUUAAAUGCCAAAUGCAAAUGAUUAUGGUUUGCAGAUAUGUACACAUACGAAGAGGAAUUUUCAUAUCCAGCUCCAGUUGAAUGACCACACUCAUAUUUACGUUCUCUGUCAACAAGAAUUUUUUCAUGGACUUUCCAGGACACUUCACCUAAAAUAAAUAGAAAAAUGAUUCUGCUAUUAAAAAAAGCUACUCUUCUGUUAGUAACAACAAUUACAAUGUGUGCUACUUCAUCUUUCCGAAUUAAGCGGCCCAAACCUGUUCACCAUGAGGACAAUGUGUGUGAAGGUUGGAAGAAGGUGGAAGAACUCGAGUGUCAUGCACAAAGCAUUGACCACAACCCCACUGAACACCAUUGGGUUUGGGUUGAACUGGAACUGAAGCCUCCUAACCCUAGCCCUAACCUGGCCUCAACCUCACUAAUGCCCUUGUAACUGAAUGAACACAAAUCCCCACAGCCACUCCCCAAAAUCUAGUGGAAAUACUUCUCAGAAGAGUGAAGCACAUUAUAACAGCAAAGGGUUAAUAAAUCUGGAAUAGGACGUUCAACAAGAACAUAUGGGUGUGAUGGUCAAGGGUACACAAACUUUUGGCAAUAUUGUGUAUCUCUUCUAAAUAAACAGAAUCUCAUUCAUAUUUCAUAUUUGGUGUUGGGCAUGCA
ensembl:lncRNA